AACGAACGCUGGCGGCAGGCCUAACACAUGCAAGUCGAACGCCCUGGCAACAGGGAGUGGCAGACGGGUGAGUAACGCGUGGGAACGUGCCCUUCGGAUCGGAAUAACUCAGGGAAACUUGAGCUAAUACCGAAUACGUGCGAGAGCAGAAAGAUUUAUCGCCGAAGGAUCGGCCCGCGUCCGAUUAGCUAGUUGGUGAGGUAAUGGCUCACCAAGGCGACGAUCGGUAGCUGGUCUGAGAGGAUGAUCAGCCACACUGGGACUGAGACACGGCCCAGACUCCUACGGGAGGCAGCAGUGGGGAAUAUUGGACAAUGGGCGCAAGCCUGAUCCAGCCAUGCCGCGUGAGUGAUGGAGGCCCUAGGGUUGUAAAGCUCUUUCGCCAGGGACGAUAAUGACGGUACCUGGAUAAGAAGCCCUGGCUAACUUCGUGCCAGCCGCCGCGGUAA
rnacentral:rRNA from 1 species